UACGUAGGGUGCGAGCGUUUGUCCGGAAUUAUUGGGCGUAAAGGGCUCGUAGGCGGUUUGUCGCGUCGGGAGUGAAAUCCACUGGCUUAACUGGUGGCUUGCUUUCGAUACGGGCAGACUGGAGGCAUGCAGGGGGAGAACGGAAUUCCUGGUGUAGCGGUGAAAUGCGCAGAUAUCGGGAGGAACACCGGUGGCGAAGGCGGUUCUCUGGGCAGUAACUGACGCUGAGGAGCGAAAGCGUGGGGAGCGAACAGG
rnacentral:rRNA from 1 species